UACGGAGGGUGCAAGCGUUAUCCGGAUUCACUGGGUUUAAAGGGUGCGUAGGUGGGUUUGUAAGUCAGUGGUGAAAUCUCCAAGCUUAACUUGGAAACUGCCGUUGAUACUAUAAAUCUUGAAUGUUGUGGAGGUGAGCGGAAUAUGUCAUGUAGCGGUGAAAUGCUUAGAUAUGACAUAGAACACCAAUUGCGAAGGCAGCUCACUACACAAAGAUUGACACUGAGGCACGAAAGCGUGGGGAUCAAACCGG
rnacentral:rRNA from 1 species